UACGGGGGGAGCAAGCGUUGUCCGGAUUUACUGGGCGUAAAGGGCGCGUAGGCGGCGCAACAAGUCACUUGUGAAAUCUCCGGGCUUAACCCGGAGCGGCCAAGUGAUACUGUCGUGCUAGAGUGCGGAAGGGGCUACUGGAAUUCUCGGUGUAGCGGUGAAAUGCGUAGAUAUCGUAAGGAAGACCAGUGGCGAAGGCGGGUCUCUGGACAGUUCCUGACGCUGAGGCACGAAGGUCAGGGGAGCAAACGGG
rnacentral:rRNA from 1 species